GAGAAGCAGACUGGGCAGCAGCAGCUUCUCUCAGGCUUCGAAACUAAUGAAUACUCUGCCACUACCAAGAGCCUCCGGUGCAUCGGAUCACAAGAAGCUGCAGUGUUGCAUUGUCAGCCAGUUUGCUCAGUUACAACCCUCCCUACCAUCAAGGAUAUCUUCAUUAGGUGGUGCCUCAAGAAAGCAGUGCCCAUCAUUGACGACGGUCACCAUCCAGGACUGCGUUUUCAAGGACAUGAAUGAACCUGACAUAUCAACACAACUCCUGGAACAGUGCUCGACAAUGG